GAUGAACGCUGGCGGCGUGCCUAAUACAUGCCAGUCGAGCGAACGGACGAGAAGCUUGCUUUUCUGAUGUUAGCGGCGGACGGGUGAGUAACACGUGGAUAACCUACCUAUAAGACUGGGAUAACUUCGGGAAACCGGAGCUAAUACCGGAUAAUAUUUUGAACCGCAUGGUUCAAAAGUGAAAGACGGUCUUGCUGUCACUUAUAGAUGGAUCCGCGCUGCAUUAGCUAGUUGGUAAGGUAACGGCUUACCAAGGCAACGAUGCAUAGCCGACCUGAGAGGGUGAUCGGCCACACUGGAACUGAGACACUGUCCAGACUCCUACGGGAGGCAGCAGUAGGGAAUCUUCCGCAAUGGGCGAAAGCCUGACGGAGCAACGCCGCGUGAGUGAUGAAGGUCUUCGGAUCGUAAAACUCUGUUAUUAGGGAAGAACAUAUGUGUAAGUAACUGUGCACAUCUUGACGGUACCUAAUCAGAAAGCCACGGCUAACUACGUG
rnacentral:rRNA from 1 species